rnacentral:rRNA from 1 species
UACGGAGGGUGCAAGCGUUGUUCGGAAUUAUUGGGCGUAAAGGGCGUGUAGGUGGCACUCCAAGUCGGAUGUGAAAUCCCCAGGCUCAACCUGGGAAUUGCGCUUGAUACUGCGAGACUUGAGUGAGGGAGAGGAUAGUGGAAUUCCCAGUGUAGAGGUGAAAUUCGUAGAUAUUGGGAAGAACACCAGUGGCGAAGGCGGCUAUCUGGACCUCAACUGACGCUGAGGCGCGAAAGCGUGGGGAGCAAACAGGAUUAGAAACCCUUGUAGU